rnacentral:lncRNA from 1 species
GUUCUGCUCGGGACUGACGCCGGUUAGGAACACGGAACAAACGAGGCUAGGGGAAGCCAGGAACCGGGAGGUUCCGCCCCAGGCUCUCCGGCCACAGACGGAAAAAGGAAGGGGGCGCGAGCCUGGCACCAGCGUCCGAGGCAGGGCGGGGCCCGGCAGCGCUCGGACCCGGAACGCGAACGCGCCAGUCCACGGCCGCGGCCCCCGCCUGGCCUGGCCGAUCCUCCCGCAGCCCUCCGGCUGUGCAGUAGCCCGGCCCGCUACCCAAGCCGCGCUCACCCCGGAGGAAGCCGCGGCCCCCUCGUCCUCUUUGCCCCUCCAGGCCGGCGACGUGGGGCUGACGGCCAGGUCGCAGAAAGCGGCGCCGGGCAGAGCCCGCUGCCCUUGGUCGGCUGUGGAGACGGGGCCCAGCUUUUCCCGGACGGUCUCAGUUGCAGUCCGGGCGGCAGCAGCUGACCCGGAUUCAGUGCGUACGCCCCGGCGGAAGUGACCACCUCCGGACCGGCGCCGGGCGCGGCCGAGGGAGGAAGCGGGGGCGGGGCGUUUUCCUAAAAUCCUCGGCGAGUUUCCUCUGUGCGCAUGCGCAGCCGCAAGCCCUUCUGUCCAGGGCCAGCUAAGGCUUUGGCUUGCUGCUGGCGAGGGAGGAGGUGGGCGCUGCUUUCUAAGGCUCACACACUUAACGUUACUGUAGUGACCUAACCUCGCUGUCUGAAAGGGCUAUUUGUUUCUCUCUGUUUUCCUUUACUUGACAUUAUAUUAACUAUAUUACAGAGUGAAUGAAAAGGGGGUGGAAAAUAGUCGAUGUCUUAUGUACGAUAGCCAGGUCCUAGAAGAAUCUACUUUGAUAGAAUUUUCCGACAUGAAUAGUUUUUCUCUCCAGUAAUGCUUCUGAGAGAGUAAUAAGUACCCCCCUCCUUCCCAGACUCUUCUCUUGUGUUCCGAGUUGGCCUUGAAUUCCUUCCAGUGUAUCUGAAAUAACCUUGAAAACUAAUUUUCCUGCCCCAGUCUCCAGAGAGCUGAGAUUAUCUACAUGAUUGUUACCACAUUGUGGCAGAGACAGAGACAACAUAGGGCUUCCUGACUGCUGCUAGGUAGGCACUCUAUUAUCUGAACUCUCCGUUCCCUUCAUAACCCCCUGGGGGUGUUACAAAGGAUCCGUUCUUGCAGGGGUUGCCCGAGAUCAUAGGAAAUUUCAUUACGAUUCAUGACUGUAGCAAUAUUACUGUUCUGAAGUUGCAACGGAGUAAUUUUGUGGUUGGGGGUCUCCACAACAUGAGGAACUGUACUAAAGGGUCCCAGCUUUAGGAAAGUUUAGAACUAUUGCUUUAAAACAUGCUUUUCCCAGUUAUUUGUGGGUCCUAUCUUGAUGACGUAGAAAAAAAUGAAAAUAAAAGUGAAGUCAGUAAAUGUAAAAUAUUUUAUUAUCACAGUCAGUAAAAUAUUUUAUUAUCACAGUCAACAGUCCUAAAAUUGGCUGUCGUAAAAAAAAAAAAUCCUCAAAAAGGGGGAGGAGGAGACAAGAGGUUUGUGGAGAGGAAACUGGGAAGGGGGAUAACAUUUGAAAUGUCAAUAAAUAAAAUAACCAAUAAAAGAUGAAAAAAAUUUC